rnacentral:rRNA from 1 species
AAAUUGAAGAGUUUGAUCAUGGCUCAGAUUGAACGCUGGCGGCAGGCCUAACACAUGCAAGUCGAACGGUAACAGGAAGCAGCUUGCUGCUUCGCUGACGAGUGGCGGACGGGUGAGUAAUGUCUGGGAAAACUGCCUGAUGGAGGGGGAUAACUACUGGAAACGGUGGCUAAUACCGCAUAACGUCGCAAGACCAAAGAGGGGGACCUUCGGGCCUCUUGCCAUCAGAUGUGCCCAGAUG